AAGGAGUCUAGCACAUAUGCGAGUAUUUGGGUGUCAAACUCGAGUGCGCAAUGAAAGUGAACGUAGGAGCCACGCGCAAGCUGCAGCUUCGACCGAUCUGGAUCUUUAGUGAUGGAUUUGAGUAAGAGCAUAUAUGCUGGGACCCGAAAGAUGGUGAACUAUGCCUGAAUAGGGCGAAGCCAGGGGAAACUCUGGUGGAGGCUCGUAGCGAUUCUGACGUGCAAAUCGAUCGUCGAAUUUGGGUAUAGGGGCGGAAGACUAAUCGAACCAUCUAGUAGCUGGUUCCUGC
rnacentral:misc_RNA from 1 species